GCUGCAGACACUGGGGGAGGGAGAGGGUGGCCUUGAUCCCGAUGACUCUGAAACAUGCUUGGCCUUCCCCAGAGAUUCCUGCUCCCAGCCCAGGCCCAGACGGCAACAGAAGCUCAUGGGGAGUGAAGGGACAGGAUGGAGCGGGAGUGGCGCCAAAGCACGGGGAGAACCAGAGGCCGCAGGAAUGGCAGACUCUGGACAUGCUCCUAGAGAUGGGAGGUCAAAAUGAUCAACGUUCAGGGUCCCUUCAUCUCAGAGGGUCUCGAGUCACCUCAUUUAAAGUGUGGCCUGGGACACCUCCUAUCCAGCCAUACGCCGCCCAGGACUGGCUCAACAGCUCCACCCUCCACUGCUGUUCACCCAUGACACGUCACUUCCCACCCGCCACUGCUGGCUCACCUGUGACACCCCAGGCAGCUCAGAUGCCCGGCAGGUCCUGCUGGUAAGAGGGAGGCAGGAACCUGUCCUGUCUGGGACCCGGGCAUUGCUGGGUGCCGGAGGGACCUGGGACCUCAGCCACGCUGGGAGCUGGCCUGUCGUACGGGCGGUGCCUGGCAGAUGUGGAC
rnacentral:lncRNA from 1 species